rnacentral:piRNA from 1 species
UACCCUGCACUGAGCUGUCCCUGGGCCA